rnacentral:rRNA from 1 species
AGGACGAACGCUGGCGGCGUGCUUAACACAUGCAAGUCGAGCGGAAAGGCCCUUCGGGGUACUCGAGCGGCGAACGGGUGAGUAACACGUGAGUAAUCUGCCCUUAGCUCUGGGAUAGCUCCGGGAAACCGGGAUUAAUACCAGAUACGACCACUUUAGACAUCUGCCGUGGUGGAAAGAAUUUCGGCUAAGGACGAGCUCGCGGCCUAUCAGCUUGUUGGUGGGGUAACGGCCUACCAAGGCGACGACGGGUA